rnacentral:rRNA from 1 species
GACGAACGCUGGCGGCGUGCUUAACCCAUGCAAGUCGAGCGGAGCGGCGAACGGGUGAGUAACGCGUGAGUAACUGCCCCCCUCUCUGGGAUAACAGUUGUAAACGGCUGCUAAUACCUGAUAGUGGGGGAUGACUCGCGUCAUAUCCGCUGGUGGGUGGUGUAGUGGCCUACCACGGCGCCGACGGGUAACCGGCCUGAGAGGGCGACCGGCCAAAUGGGGCGGAGAGACGGUCCAAAGCUCUACGGGAGGAAGUAGUGGGGAAUAUUGUACAAGGGGGGAAACCCUGAUGCAGAAACGCCGCGGGGGGGAUGACGGCUUUCGGGUUGUAAACCGCUUUCAGCCAUGACGCGGUAGUGGCAGAAGAAGCACCGGCUAACUACGUGCCAGCAGCCGCGGUAAUAC